CCUGCACCGGAUGCUGCAGAACCUCUUUCCAGAGGGCAGCAGGGAGAACAGUCCAUGGUGGGGGUGUGAGGGGUCACUGACGAUGUUUCGGCCUCAGGAAUUAGGGGCCGGAGUGUUGGAGCUAUUUAUUCUUUAUUUCUUUAUCCAUUUGAAUUUUGUUAGUUUAUUCUUACAUUUCUAGUUUUUGUAUUAUUUACAGAGUUUAUUUGCAGGUUAAUAAUUGUUGAUUCUAUUUAUCUUUUGUUUUAUUAUUUGUUAUUUAUUCGUUUUCUAAAGACAGGAAGUGAGGUGGAUCAAUCCACUUUCUAUAAGCAGCAUGAAAACAAGACAAAGUUUGAACUCUGUAAUUGUUUAGCUGAAACAAAAUAAAUCAUC